rnacentral:misc_RNA from 1 species
GAUGAAGAACGUAGCGAAAUGCGAUAAGUAGUGUGAAUUGCAGAAUUCAGUGAAUCAUCGAAUCUUUGAACGCACCUUGCACCCUUUGGUAUUCCGAAGGGUAUGCUCGUUUGAGUGUCAUUGUACUCUCACACUUCUAAUUCCUUUCGGGAUUGGGAGCGGUGGACUUGGGUGUUGCUGCUUUAGUUGUGGCUCACCUCAAAUAAGUUAGUGCAACUCUUGGUUGGACAUAGUACGGCGUGAUAAGUGUCUUCGCCGGCGCCUCUGUAAGGAGGGUGGCCGAUCGGGAGCUCUGUGCUUCAAACCGUCUUCGGACAAUCUUUGACAACUUGACCUCAAAUCGAGUAGGACUACCCGCUGAACUUAAGCAUAUCAAUAAGCGGAGGA